GACGAACGCUGGCGGCGUGCCUAAUACAUGCAAGUAGAACGCAGUUGCGAACGGGUGAGUAACGCGUAGGUAACUGCCUCAUAGCGGGGGAUAACUAUUGGAAACGAUAGCUAAUACCCCAUACUGUGAGAUGGCCCUGCGUUGUAUUAGCCAGUUGGUGAGGUAAAGGCUCACCAGGGCGACGAUACAUAUUCGACCUGAGAGGGGUGUUGGCCACACUGGGACUUGAACACGGCCCAAGCUCCUGCGGUAGGCAGCAGUAGGGAAUCUUCGGCAAUGGACGGAAGUCUGACCGGGCAACGCCGCGUGAGUGAAGAAGGUUUUCGGAUCGUAAAGCUCAGUUGUUAGAGAAACGGUAACUAACCAGAAAGGGACGGCUAACUACGUGCCAGCAGCCGCGGUAAUAC
rnacentral:rRNA from 1 species